GGUAAUAUGGCCGAGAAAGGCAGUGAGCUGUAAAUUCAUGCAUAGGAGUCCAUCCUUAUUACCAAG
rnacentral:tRNA from 1 species